rnacentral:rRNA from 1 species
AUUGAACGCUGGCGGCAGGCCUAACAUAUGCAAGUCGAGCGGAGCGGCGGACGGGUGAGUAAUGCCUAGGAAUCUGCCUGGUAGUGGGGGAUAACGCCCGGAAACGGGCGCUAAUACCGCAUACUAUCAGAUGAGCCUAGGUCGGAUUAGCUAGUUGGUGGGUUAAAGGCGUACCAAGGCGACGAUCCGUAACUGGUCUGAGAGGAUGAUAAGUCAGACUGGAACGGGGACACGGUCAAGACUCCAACGGGAGUAAGCAGUGGGGAAUAUUGGACAAUGGGCGAAAGCCUGAUCAAGCCAUGCCGCGUGUGUGAAGAAGGUAUUCGGAUUUUAAAGCACUUUAAGUUGGGAGGCGUUACCAGCAGAAUAAGCACCGGCUAACUACGUGCCAGCAGCCGCGGUAAUAC